rnacentral:rRNA from 1 species
GACGAACGCUGGCGGCGUGCUUAACACAUGCAAGUCGAACGGAAAGGCCUCUUUCGGGGGGUACUCGAGUGGCGAACGGGUGAGUAACACGUGAGUAACCUGCCCUUUACUUUGGGAUAACUUCAGGAAACUGGGGCUAAUACCGGAUAGGAGCUCCUGCUGCAUGGUGGGGGUUGGAAAGUUUCGGCGGUUGGGGAUGGACUCGCGGCGUAUCAGCUUGUUGGUGGGGUAGUGGCUUACCAAGGCUUUGACGGGUAGCCGGCCUGAGAGGGUGACCGGCCACAUUGGGACUGAGAUACGGCCCAGACUCCUACGGGAGGCAGCAGUGGGGAAUAUUGCACAAUGGGUGGGAGCCUGAUGCAGCAACGCCGGGUGCGGGAUGACGGCCUUCGGGUUGUAAACCGCUUUCGCUCAUGACGAAGCUUUGUGUGACGGUAGUGGGUAAAGAAGCACCGGCUAACUACGUG